UACGUAGGGUGCAAGCGUUGUCCGGAAUUAUUGGGCGUAAAGAGCUCGUAGGCGGUCUGUCGCGUCGGCUGUGAAAUCCCGAGGCUCAACCUCGGGUCUGCAGUCGAUACGGGCAAACUGGAGUGUUGCAGGGGAGACUGGAAUUCCUGGUGUAGCGGUGAAAUGCGCAGAUAUCAGGAGGAACACCGGUGGCGAAGGCGGUUCUCUGGGAAUGUUCUGACGCUGAGGAGCGAAAGUGUGGGGAGCGAACAGG
rnacentral:rRNA from 1 species